rnacentral:misc_RNA from 1 species
AAACAUUUUGCCGCAACAUAAGGGAUGCCAAAGACCUUUGAGCCACUCACUGUCAGGCAAAAGGGGAGUUCUCAUUACUACAAGAAGUAUAGCCAUAUUUGACUCAAGUGACUAGAGUAGAGAGGUUCAAAAGAACACACAUCAUUAGGAAAAUUGUAUUACAAAUCAUGAAAUCAAUAACUUCCAACUAAGCAGAAACUAACUUCCUGACAAGCAAAUUUCUCAUCAAAUAUCCUCUUGCGUAUAAGGCAUAAAUAUUACCAUACCACUCUUAAAGGUCGAAUAAAA